rnacentral:rRNA from 1 species
AAAUUAGAGUUUGAUCAUGGCUCAGAGUGAACGCUGGCGGUAGGCCUAACACAUGCAAGUCGAACGGCAGCACAGGAGAGCUUGCUCUCUGGGUGGCGAGUGGCGGACGGGUGAGGAAUACAUCGGAAUCUACUCUGUCGUGGGGGAUAACGUAGGGAAACUUACGCUAAUACCGCAUACGACCUACGGGUGAAAGCAGGGGAUCUUCGGACCUUGCGCGAUUGAAUGAGCCGAUGUCGGAUUAGCUAGUUGGCGGGGUAAAGGCCCACCAAGGCGACGAUCCGUAGCUGGUCUGAGAGGAUGAUCAGCCACACUGGAACUGAGACACGGUCCGGACUCCUACGGGAGGCAGCAGUGGGGAAUAUUGGACAAUGGGCGCAAGCCUGAUCCAGCCAUACCGCGUGGGUGAAGAAGGCCUU